UACGUAGGUGGCAAGCGUUGUCCGGAAUUACUGGGUGUAAAGCGCGUGUAGGCGGCCGGCCAAGUCUGCGGUGAAAGCGCCCGGCUCAACUGGGCGAGGUCCGUGGAAACUGGUCAGCUGGAGGACGGUAGAGGCGAGUGGAAUUCCCGGUGUAGUGGUGAAAUGCGUAGAGAUCGGGAGGAACACCUGUGGCGAAGGCGGCUCGCUGGGCCGGUCCUGACGCUGAGACGCGAAGGCGUGGGGAGCGAACGGG
rnacentral:rRNA from 1 species